rnacentral:rRNA from 1 species
CUACGGGAGGCUGCAGUGAGGAAUUUUGCGCAAUGGGGGGAACCCUGACGCAGCAACGCCGUGUGAGUGAAGAAGGCCUUUGGGUCGUAAAGCUCUGUCAACUGGGAAGAAGUUACUAUGCUUAAAUAGAGUGUAGUAUUGACGGUACCAGUGGAGGAAGCGUCGGCUAACUCCGUGCCAGCAGCCGCGGUAACACGGGGGACGCAAGCGUUAUUCGGAAUUAUUGGGCGUAAAGGGCGCGUAGGCGGUCUUGUCGGUCAGGUGUGAAAGCCCGGGGCUCAACCCCGGACGUGCACUUGAAACAGCAAGACUUGAGUACGGGAGAGGAAAGCGGAAUUCCUGGUGUAGAGGUGAAAUUCGUAGAUAUCAGGAGGAACACCGAUGGCGAAGGCAGCUUUCUGGACCGAAACUGACGCUGAGGCGCGAAGGCGUGGGUAGCGAACGGGAUUAGAUACCCCGGUAGUC